UAUAAAUACACUUUAUCACUUCUGUCUUAAUAGGAACUGCAUGGUUUUGCUCAUGAACCACAAAACUAUUGGACUGACUUUGGGGGUUUCUGUUAUUGAGCAGGCAGCGUGUAAUUAAGAGACGUCUGUGCUGACACAUUUUGCUUCGGAGGAAGACGACUUGGACGCAUGCAGAGAAACUUAUCCACGCCUUUGUCUCCAUCAAGCUGGACUACUGUAAUGGUCUUCUUGUCGGGAUCACAAACAAAAACAUUCAGAAGCUUCAACACAUACAAAACUGUGCUGCCCGGAUCCUCACGAAGACUCGAAAAUAUGACCAUAUCACACCAAUUCUCAAAUCCCUUCAUUGGCUCCCAGUCUCACACAGGAUUGAAUACAAAAUCUCACUACUAACCCACCAGUGUCUCUAUGGUAAUGCUCCAACCUACUUGAAGGAGCUAAUCACCCCUCAACCCACUCCACGACACCUCCGCUCCGGCCAGGCAAACGUCCUGCAAAUCCCAAGGACCAAGCUCCGAACGAUGGGAGACAGAGCCUUCUGCUACGUCGCUCCCAGUUUUUGGAACGCUCUCCCUGACGACCUGAGAGCACCACUGACCCUAGGCACUUUUAAAAAAAGGCCUAAAAACCCCACCUUUUUAAGAAAGCUUUUUAAGUUUAAUUGGCGAUGUUCUCUCUCCAAUUAUUUUUAUUUUUUAUUUUAUUUUUUUAUUUUUAUGUAUGUAGCACUUUGAGAUUGUUUGUUCAAUAUAAAGUUACAUUUACAAAUAAAAUUCAUUAUCAUUACUAUAA